rnacentral:misc_RNA from 1 species
GAUGAAGAACGUAGCGAAAUGCGAUAAGUAAUGUGAAUUGCAGAAUUCAGUGAAUCAUCGAAUCUUUGAACGCACAUUGCGCCCGCCAGUAUUCUGGCGGGCAUGCCUGUUCGAGCGUCAUUUCAACCAUCAAGCCCCAGGCUUGUGUUGGGGACCUGCGGCUGCCGCAGGCCCCGAAAAUCAGUGGCGGGCUCGCUAGUCACUCCGAGCGUAGUAAUACAUCUCGCUUUGGGCGUGCGGCGGGUUCUUGCCGUUAAACACCCCCUUUUUACCAAGGUUGACCUCGGAUCAGGUAGGAAUACCCGCUGAACUUAAGCAUAUCAAUAAGCGGAGGA